rnacentral:siRNA from 1 species
UGGGCAAGCCCAUGUAUAGCCCA